rnacentral:rRNA from 1 species
UUUGACCUGGCUCAGGACGAACGCUGGCGGCGUGCCUAAUACAUGCAAGUUGAGCGCUGAAGGUUGGUACUUGUACCGACUGGAUGAGCAGCGAACGGGUGAGUAACGCGUGGGGAAUCUGCCUUUGAGCGGGGGACAACAUUUGGAAACGAAUGCUAAUACCGCAUAAAAACUUUAAACACAAGUUUUAAGUUUGAAAGAUGCAAUUGCAUCACUCAAAGAUGAUCCCGCGUUGUAUUAGCUAGUUGGUGAGGUAAAGGCUCACCAAGGCGAUGAUACAUAGCCGACCUGAGAGGGUGAUCGGCCACAUUGGGACUGAGACACGGCCCAAACUCCUACGGGAGGCAGCAGUAGGGAAUCUUCGGCAAUGGACGAAAGUCUGACCGAGCAACGCCGCGUGAGUGAAGAAGGUUUUCGGAUCGUAAAACUCUGUUGGUAGAGAAGAACGUUGGUGAGAGUGGAAAGCUCAUCAAGUGACGGUAACUACCCAGAAAGGGACGGCUAACUA